CGCUGGCGGCAGGCCUAACACAUGCAAGUCAGAGCGGCCGUAGCAAUACGGCAGCGGCASACGGGAGAGUAACACGUGGGAACGCGCCCUUCGGUCCGGGAUAACCCAGGGAAACUUGGGCUAAUACCGGAUACGCCCUUACGGGGAAAGAUUUAUUGCCGAAGGAACGGCCCGCGUCCGAUUAGCUAGUUGGUGAGGUAAUGGCUCACCAAGGCGACGAUCGGUAGCUGGUCUGAGAGGAUGACCAGCCUCACUGGGACUGAGACACGGCCCAGACUCCUACGGGAGGCAGCAGUGGGGAAUAUUGGACAAUGGGCGCAAGCCUGAUCCAGCCAUGCCGCGUGGGUGAUGAAGGCCCUAGGGUUGUAAAGCCCUUUCAGCGGGGAAGAUAAUGACGGUACCCGCAGAAGAAGCCCCGGCUAACUUCGUGCCAGCAGCCGCGGUAAUACGAAGGGGGCUAGCGUUGCUCGGAAUUACUGGGCGUAAAGCGCACGUAGGCGGCUUUCUAAGUCGGGGGUGAAAUCCUGGAGCUCAACUCCAGAACUGCCUUCGAUACUGGAAAGCUCGAGUCCGGGAGAGGUGAGUGGAACUGCGAGUGUAGAGGUGAAAUUCGUAGAUAUUCGCAAGAAC
rnacentral:rRNA from 1 species